rnacentral:rRNA from 1 species
CAAUAGCGUAUAUUAAAGUUGUUGCGGUUAAAAAGCUCGUAGUUGGAUUUCUGUCUGAGGCGGCCGGUCCACUUUCUGAGUGAGCAUCUGGUCCGCUUUGGGCAUCCUCCUGGGGAACGUUUCCGCGCUUGAUUGUGUGGUACGGAAUCUAGGACUUUUACUUUGAGGAAAUUAGAGUGUUCACUGCAGGCAUACGCCUUGAAUACGUUAGCAUGGAAUAAUGGAAUAGGACUUUGGUUCUAUUUUGUUGGUUUCUAGGACCGAAGUAAUGAUUAAUAGGGACAGUUGGGGGCAUUAGUAUUUAAUUGUCAGAGGUGAAAUUCUUGGAUUUAUGAAAGACUAACUACUGCGAAAGCAUUUGCCAAGGAUGUUUUCAUUAAUCAAGAACGAAAGUUAGGGGAUCGAAGAUGAUCAGAUACCGU